GCGGUUGCCUCCUAAAGAGUAACGGAGGCGCCCAAAGGUUCCCUCAGCCUGGUUGGCAAUCAGGUGUUGAGUGUAAGUGCACAAGGGAGCUUGACUGUGAGACCGACGGGUCGAGCAGGGACGAAAGUCGGGACUAGUGAUCCGGCGGUGGCUUGUGGAAGCGCCGUCGCUCAACGGAUAAAAGGUACCCCGGGGAUAACAGGCUGAUCUUCCCCAAGAGUCCAUAUCGACGGGAUGGUUUGGCACCUCGAUGUCGGCUCGUCGCAUCCUGGGGCUGGAGUCGGUCCCAAGGGUUGGGCUGUUCGCCCAUUAAAGCGGUACGCGAGCUGGGUUUAGAACGUCGUGAGACAGUUCGGUCCCUAUCCGCUGUGCGCGUAGGAGUCUUGAGAAGGGCUGUCCCUAGUACGAGAGGACCGGGACGGACGAACCUCUGGUGUGCCAGUUGUUCUGCCAAGGGCAUGGCUGGUUGGCUACGUUCGGGAGGGAUAACCGCUGAAAGCAUCUAAGCGGGAAGCCUGCUUCGAGAUGAGGACUCCCACCCACUUGAUGGGGUAAGGCUCCCAGUAGACGACUGGGUUGAUAGGCCGGAUCUGGAAGCACCGUGAGGUGUGGAGGUGACCGGUACUAAUAGGCCGAGGGCUUGUCCUCAGUUG
rnacentral:rRNA from 1 species